rfam:Citrus sinensis cultivar Ridge Pineapple sweet orange scaffold01247_contig_1, whole genome shotgun sequence.
AUGCCAUGAUGAGGACAUAUUUUAAGCAACUCUUUAAAUCUCUCACAAGCUUCAUACGAGCUCUCAUCUUCAAGUUGGUGAAAAGAGGGGAUCUCAUUUCGAAAUUU